rnacentral:rRNA from 2 species
AUGGUUAAGUUAGAAAGGGCGCACGGUGAAUGCCUUGGCACUAGGAGCCGAUGAAGGACGGGACUAACACCGAUAUGCUUCGGGGAGCUGUAAGUGAGCUUUGAUCCGGAGAUUUCCGAAUGGGGAAACCCACUGUUCGUAAUGGAACAGUAUCUUUAUCUGAAUACAUAGGAUAUUGAAGGCAGACCCGGGGAACUGAAACAUCUAAGUACCCGGAGGAAGAGAAAGCAAAUGCGAUUUCCUGAGUAGCGGCGAGCGAAACGGAAUUAGCCCAAACCAAGAGGCUUGCCUCUUGGGGUUGUAGGACACUCUAUACGGAGUUACAAAGGAACGAAGUAAAUGAAGCGACCUGGAAAGGUCCGUCGAAGAAGGUAACAACCCUGUAGUUGAAACUUCGUUCCCUCUUGAGUGGAUCCUGAGUACGGCGGAACACGUGAAAUUCCGUCGGAAGCUGGGAGGACCAUCUCCCAAGGCUAAAUACUACCUAGUGACCGAUAGUGAACCAGUACCGUGAGGGAAAGGUGAAAAGCACCCCGGAAGGGGAGUGAAAGAGAUCCUGAAACCGUGUGCCUACAAGUAGUCAGAGCCCGUUAAUGGGUGAUGGCGUGCCUUUUGUAGAAUGAACCGGCGAGUUACGAUCCCAUGCAAGGUUAAGCUGAUAAGGCGGAGCCGUAGCGAAAGCGAGUCUGAAUAGGGCGUUUAGUAUGUGGUUGUAGACCCGAAACCAGGUGAUCUACCCAUGUCCAGGGUGAAGUUCAGGUAACACUGAAUGGAGGCCCGAACCCACGCACGUUGAAAAGUGCGGGGAUGAGGUGUGGGUAGCGGAGAAAUUCCAAUCGAACCUGGAGAUAGCUGGUUCUCUCCGAAAUAGCUUUAGGGCUAGCCUCAUGUUGUGAGAGUCUUGGAGGUAGAGCACUGAUUGGACUAGGGGCCCCCAACGGGUUACCGAAUUCAGUCAAACUCCGAAUGCCAAAGACUUAUCCAUGGGAGUCAGACUGCGAGUGAUAAGAUCCGUAGUCAAAAGGGAAACAGCCCAGACCACCAGCUAAGGUCCCCAAGUAUACGUUAAGUGGAAAAGGAUGUGGAGUUGCUUAGACAACCAGGAUGUUGGCUUAGAAGCAGCCACCAUUUAAAGAGUGCGUAAUAGCUCACUGGUCGAGUGACUCUGCGCCGAAAAUGUACCGGGGCUAAACGUAUCACCGAAGCUGUGGAUUGACAUCUUUGAUGUCAGUGGUAGGAGAGCGUUCUAAGUGCAGCGAAGUCAGACCGUAAGGACUGGUGGAGCGCUUAGAAGUGAGAAUGCCGGUAUGAGUAGCGAAAGACAAGUGAGAAUCUUGUCCACCGAAUGCCUAAGGUUUCCUGAGGAAGGCUCGUCCGCUCAGGGUUAGUCGGGACCUAAGCCGAGGCUGAAAAGCGUAGGCGAUGGCCAACAGGUUGAUAUUCCUGUACCACCUCCCCGCCGUUUGAGUAAUGGGGGGACGCAGUAGGAUAGGGUAAGCGCGCUGCUGGAUAUGCGCGUUCAAGCAGUUAGGCUGAUGAGUAGGCAAAUCCGCUCAUCAUAAAGGCUGAGCUGUGAUGACGAGGGAAUUAUAGUACCGAAGUUCCUGAUUCCACACUGCCAAGAAAAGCCUCUAGCGAGGCGGGAGGUGCCCGUACCGCAAACCGACACAGGUAGGCGAGGAGAGAAUCCUAAGGUGAUCGAGAGAACUCUCGUUAAGGAACUCGGCAAAAUGACCCCGUAACUUCGGGAGAAGGGGUGCUCUGGUAGGGUGUAUAGCCCGAGAGAGCCGCAGUGAAUAGGCCCAGGCGACUGUUUAGCAAAAACACAGGUCUCUGCGAAGCCGCAAGGCGAAGUAUAGGGGCUGACGCCUGCCCGGUGCUGGAAGGUUAAGAGGAGGGGUUAUCCUUUGGGAGAAGCUCUGAAUCGAAGCCCCAGUAAACGGCGGCCGUAACUAUAACGGUCCUAAGGUAGCGAAAUUCCUUGUCGGGUAAGUUCCGACCCGCACGAAAGGCGUAACGAUCUGGGCACUGUCUCAACGAGAGACUCGGUGAAAUUAUAGUACCUGUGAAGAUGCAGGUUACCCGCGACAGGACGGAAAGACCCCGUGGAGCUUUACUGUAGCCUGAUAUUGAAUUUUGGUACAGCUUGUACAGGAUAGGUAGGAGCCUGAGAAGCCGGAGCGCUAGCUUCGGUGGAGGCGUCGGUGGGAUACUACCCUGGCUGUAUUGAAAUUCUAACCCGCGGCCCUGAUCGGGCCGGGAGACAGUGUCAGGUGGGCAGUUUGACUGGGGCGGUCGCCUCCUAAAAUGUAACGGAGGCGCCCAAAGGUUCCCUCAGAAUGGUUGGAAAUCAUUCGUAGAGUGUAAAGGCACAAGGGAGCUUGACUGCGAGACCUACAAGUCGAGCAGGGACGAAAGUCGGGCUUAGUGAUCCGGUGGUUCCGCAUGGAAGGGCCAUCGCUCAACGGAUAAAAGCUACCCCGGGGAUAACAGGCUUAUCUCCCCCAAGAGUCCACAUCGACGGGGAGGUUUGGCACCUCGAUGUCGGCUCAUCGCAUCCUGGGGCUGUAGUCGGUCCCAAGGGUUGGGCUGUUCGCCCAUUAAAGCGGUACGCGAGCUGGGUUCAGAACGUCGUGAGACAGUUCGGUCCCUAUCCGUCGUGGGCGUAGGAAAUUUGAGAGGAGCUGUCCUUAGUACGAGAGGACCGGGAUGGACACACCGCUGGUGUACCAGUUGUCUUGCCAAAGGCAUCGCUGGGUAGCUAUGUGUGGACGGGAUAAGUGCUGAAAGCAUCUAAGCAUGAAGCCCCCCUCAAGAUGAGAUUUCCCAUAGCGCAAGCUAGUAAGAUCCCUGAAAGAUGAUCAGGUUGAUAGGUCAGAGGUGGAAGCGUGGCGACAUGUGUAGCUGACUGAUACUAAUCGAUCGAGGACUUAACCAAAC